GACGUAGGGCGCGAGCGUUGUCCGGAUUUAUUGGGCGUAAAGAGCUCGUAGGCGGCUUGUCGCGUCGACUGUGAAAACCCGCGGCUCAACUGUGGGCUUGCAGUCGAUACGGGCAGGCUGGAGUUCGGUAGGGGAGACUGGAAUUCACGGUGUAGCAGUGAAAUGCGUAGAUAUCGUGAGGAAGACCAGUGGCGAAGGCGGAUCUCUGGACAGUUCCUGACGCUGAGGCACGAAGGCCAGGGGAGCAAACGGG
rnacentral:rRNA from 1 species